CACCCCCACAGCAACACACAACUGUCACACACACACUGUACAUAUACACAAGCACACCCCCACAGCAACACACAACUGCCACACACACUGUAUGUACAUAUACACAAGCACACUCCCACAGCAACACACAACUGCCACACACACACACACUGUACAUAUACACAAGCACACUCCCACAGCAACAUGUACUUACAAACACAAAGAAAUGGAGGCUUGGAGGGCCUCGACUGAGGAAAGGAGCGUGAAAGGGAAAUGUAUUGAAGAAGUGGGUGGAGCAGUGGUUCUUACCAUUCAGGGAACCUUGGCAUUAUGGGUAACUCACUAGAACACCCAUACUGUCCCCUGUGUGCUCACCCUCAGGGUGAGGUGCUGGGAUUGCCAUUCUUAACAGUUUCUUUGGGUGGCUGUUGGGAUUGGGGACCUUUGGAGUUUUACUAUUUCUGUUUUGACCCCAUAUCUGUAAUUUGGUAGUCGGGGAUCACAAUUUUACAAAACAUUUGUACUCUAGGCUCAAUCACACACAAAACAGAGAUAAUGGUAAUUUAAUGGGUGUAAGGCUGAGCUGAUGUUCACAAACAUAUCUAGUGUAACAUUAAUUUAUCUAAGCACUCAGUUUCCUUCUUUUUUAUUUUUUCUUGGCAAGAACAAGCAUUCUUUAUUGCCUCCAUGGUCCCUUGUUAAAUUUACAUAACUUAGGUAAAACUGUUAUUUCAUUUUUUGUAUUAGAUAUUUUCUUUAUUUACAUUUC
rnacentral:lncRNA from 1 species